CCCUUAGAUGUUCUGGGCCGCACGCGCGCUACACUGACGAAUGCAACGAGCUUAUACCUUGGCCGAAGGGUCUGGGUAAUCUCCAAAUUUCGUCGUGAUGGGGAUAGAUUAUUGCAAUUAUUAAUCUUCAACGAGGAAUGCCUAGUAAGCGCAAGUCAUCAGCUUGCGUUGAUUACGUCCCUGCCCUUUGUACACACCGCCCGUCGCUCCUACCGAUUGAAUGGUCCGGUGAAGCGUUCGGACCGUGGCCUUUGGACGGUUCGCCGUCUGUUGGCUGCGGGAAGUUCGUUAAACCUUAUCAUUUAGAGGAAGGAGAAGUCGUAACA
rnacentral:rRNA from 1 species